rnacentral:rRNA from 1 species
UACGUAGGGGGCAAGCGUUGUCCGGAUUUAUUGGGCGUAAAGAGCGUGUAGGCGGCCAUGUAGGUCCGUUGUGAAAACUCGAGGCUCAACCUCGAGACGCCGAUGGAAACCAUGUGGCUAGAGUCCGGAAGAGGAGAGUGGAAUUCCUGGUGUAGCGGUGAAAUGCGCAGAUAUCGGGAAGAACACCCGUGGCUAAGGCGGCUCUCUAGUACGGUACUGACGCUGAGACGCGAAAGCGUGGGGAGCGAACAGG